GCAUUAUAGAACAGUUUCCAGAACCAAUUCUUUGUGUUCUCCUACCAGAAGUUUUGAAUAGCGUAGGUCCAGUUUGAAGUGUUCUUUUAUUGUUGCUCUGCUUCUUCCAAGAAUAUAUCCAUGUUUUCCUAGGAGAAAACUGGCAGUCUCAUCAACACUAUCUUGUUUGUGAAAAAAUGUGUGCUAGAGGAGGCAGAAUAUAGAUUUUCCUACGUGACUAUGAGCAACAGAUCAGCUCUGACAUUUCAGCAGGGUCUACAAGGGUCUACAAGCUUGUAGUGGCAAUGCAUUCCCCAUCACCACAACAGAGAUUUUGCUGAGAGUAAAAUACUUUUAUGCCUGAGUGUUUUAAAAUAAAGCAUUUGCCUUGCU